rnacentral:tRNA from 1 species
UUUAAAGGAUAAAAGNAAUCCACUGGUCUUC